rnacentral:rRNA from 1 species
UACAGGAGGGUGCAAGCGUUGUUCGGAAUUAUUGGGCGUAAAGGGCGCGUAGGCGGUGCGGUAAGUCCGCAGUGAAAUCUCUGGGCUCAACUCAGAGUCUGCUGUGGAAACUGCCGUGCUUGAGUGUGGGAGAGGUGAGUGGAAUUCCCGGUGUAGCGGUGAAUGCGUAGAUAUCGGGAGGAACACCUGUGGCGAAAGCGGCUCACUGGACCACAACUGACGCUGAUGCGCGAAAGCUAGGGGAGCAAACA